CAGCAGCCGCGGUAAUUCCAGCUCCAAUAGCGUAUAUUAAAGUUGUUGCAGUUAAAAAGCUCGUAGUUGGAUCUCGGGUCCGGGCUCGCGGUCCACCUCGCGGUGGUUACUGCCCGUCCCGACCUACCUACCGGUUUUCCCUCGGUGCUCUUAACUGAGUGUCUCGGGUGGCCGGAACGUUUACUUUGAAAAAAUUAGAGUGUUCAAAGCAGGCGCUUCGCCUGAAUAAUGUUGCAUGGAAUAAUGGAAUAGGACCUCGGUUCUAUUUUGUUGGUUUUCGGAACUCGAGGUAAUGAUUAAGAGGGACAGACGGGGGCAUUCGUAUGAUGGUGUUAGAGGUGAAAUUCUUGGAUCGCCGUCAGACGAACUACUGCGAAAGCAUUUGCCAAGAAUGUUUUCAUUAAUCAAGAACGAAAGUCAGAGGUUCGAAGACGAUCAGAUACCGUCCUAGUUCUGACCAUAAACGAUGCCGACUAGCGAUCCGCCGGAGUUGUUUCAAUGACCCGGCGGGCAGCUUCCGGGAAACCAAAGUCUUUGGGUUCCGGGGGAAGUAUGGUUGCAAAGCUGAAACUUAAAGGAAUUGACGGAAGGGCACCACCAGGAGUGGAGCCUGCGGCUUAAUUUGACUCAACACGGGAAAGCUUACCCGGCCCGGACACCGUAAGGAUUGACAGAUUGAGAGCUCUUUCUUGAUUCGGUGGGUGGUGGUGCAUGGCCGUUCUUAGUUGGUGGAGCGAUUUGUCUGGUUAAUUCCGAUAACGAACGAGACUCUAGCCUAUUAAAUAGUUCGCCGAUUUCGAUCUGUCGGCGUUAACUUCUUAGAGGGACAAGUGGCUUUUAGCCACGCGAGAUUGAGCAAUAACAGGUCUGUGAUGCCCAAGGCG
rnacentral:rRNA from 1 species